rnacentral:rRNA from 1 species
CCUACGGGAGGCAGCAGUGGGGAAUAUUGCACAAUGGGCGAAAGCCUGAUGCAGCAACGCCGCGUGAGCGAUGAAGGCCUUCGGGUCGUAAAGCUCUUUCCUCAAGGAAGAUAAUGUCUGUACUUGAGGAGGAAGCCCCGGCUAACUACGUGCCAGCAGCCGCGGUAAUACGUAGGGGGCUAGCGUUAUCCGGAAUUACUGGUCGUAAGGGGUGCGUAGGUGGUUUCUUAAGUCAGAGGUGAAAGGCUACGGUUCAACCGUAGUAAGCAUUUGAAACUGGGGAACUUGAGUGCAGGAGAGGGGAGUGGAAUUCCUAGUGUAGCGGUGAAAUGCGUAGAUAUUAGGAGGAACACC